CGCUGGAAGCCCCUUGCUGAGCUGGGGUUAGAAGAAAGCUUUCACUUCAGACUGAUACUGUUGCAGGGGCAGCUUGGUUUCAUCAGCCUUUGCACUGUCUUCUGUGAUCCUGAGGCUCCAGGAGACAAGGAAACAUUCAUCUGGAGACGAGGAUCUAUGGUUAACUGGACAAGUCUGGCAUUCAGCAAAAGGCACCAGCUUCCUACUGCUCUUUCCCUGUGGAAAUUUCUUUCCCAGUUAGCAAUCAGUUUAAAUGACCUGAAGGAUGACACCAGAAAGGAAUAUGGAUGCCAAAUUUCUGCCUGAAUGCUAAAUGCACACCAAGUUUUGAGACCCCAAGAAGGUGACCUUGAGCUGCUCAGCACCCUGGCUCCUCCGUAAGUGCUGCAGCACUCUGGAAAACCUUUAUCAUGACAGGCAUUUGUCUGCAAACCAC
rnacentral:lncRNA from 14 species